rnacentral:rRNA from 1 species
UACGAAGGGGGCUAGCGUCGCUCGGAAUCACUGGGCGUAAAGCGCACGUAGGCGGCUUGUUAAGUCAGGGGUGAAAUCCUGGAGCUCAACUCCAGAACUGCCUUUGAUACUGGCGAGCUUGAGUUCGGGAGAGGUGAGUGGAACUGCGAGUGUAGAGGUGAAAUUCGUAGAUAUUCGCAAGAACACCAGUGGCGAAGGCGGCUCACUGGCCCGGUACUGACGCUGAGGCGCGAAAGCGUGGGGAGCAAACAGG